AAGCACUGCCUUUGAAACUUGAUGUGUCUUGUUUAUAGCUUCAUGGGCCAAGCAACAGUGCUAGAGCAUAAGGCCUUGUUAUAACUGGAGCUCUUCAGCUUGCAACUGAACUACUCUUUUAAAACUAAGGUAUAUUU